rnacentral:rRNA from 1 species
UAAUGCGAUACUUGGUGUGAAUUGCAGAAUCCCGUGAACCAUCGAGUCUUUGAACGCAAGUUGCGCCCCAAGCCGUUAGGCCGAGGGCACGUCUGCCUGGGUGUCACGCAUCGUUGCCCCCCCCCAAAACAUGCCGACGUGCCUGUCUUUGUGGGCGGCGUAGAUUGGCCUCCCGUGCGCUGCCGCCCGCGGUUGGCCCAAAUUCGAGUUCUCGGAGACGAGUCCCGCGACUAUCGGUGGUGUUUACGAAACGGCCUCGAGAUCACGUCGCGCGGUCGCGUCUCUGUUGCGGGACUCCGUGACCCUGACAACGGAGCGUCGCUCCGACGCUCGCACUGCGACCCCAGGUCAGGCGGGACUACCCGCUGAGUUUAAGCAUAUCAAUAAGCGGAGGAAAAGAAACUUACCAGGAUUCCCCUAGUAACGGCGAGCGAACCGGGAAGAGCCCAGCUUGAGAAUCGGGCGUCCUCGACGUCCGAAUUGUAGUCUGGAGAAGCGUCAA